AUAUCUUUGUGACGCUCAUCUGUGCAACAUAAGCUGAGGCUUCCUUGCAGUAUAUCCGGCGUGUAUCGUAUAGAUUGAAUACAACUAAAGAUGACUUAUUUUCGAUUACUCGUACUGACCGUUGUGCUUUCCGUGUUAUUAUUGGCGGUCGAGGGUAGUGACUUCGAAAGAAGACUGAGUGCACGUGCUUCGAAGAAAGGUGGAAAGGAACGAUGCGAUUAUUACGGUACUUUAUACAGAGAAGGACAAACAUGGAACGUGAUAGACGAUUUGUGCAAUACAUGCGUUUGUGAGAAAGAUACUAGCGGCGUGUUAGAUUAUUCUUGUACUGAUGACGUUUGUUUUUAUGGAGCCGGCAAGUAAACCUUGGUACGGAUAAACUGGAAAGCACAUCGCAGUAUUGUUUCACAGUGUCCCGGAUGUAGAAACACGGUACUGCCCGAGAGUGACAUUGUACAUUUCAAAAACCGCCAUUAUGACGUCAUAACUGUGAUGUGUUCAUGGAAUAAAGUUAUUGAACCCUGAA